GGUUGAUAGGCAGAAAGUGUAAGCGCAGUAAUGCGUUCAGCUGAUCUGUACUAAUCGGUCGUGAGGCUUGACCAU
rnacentral:rRNA from 1 species